CUGAUAAAAAACCUACAAGGAUUGGAGCUCGGAAGCUAACCUACAUCGAAGAAUGCCAAGGAAGAAAAAUGACCAAACAGUCUGGAGGUGACUGACCUCAGGGACAAUCUCAAGGAGAUCAGACCAAAUGGAGCUCCGACUAAGGUGGCCGACAGCGAUCAGGGAGAACUCUAUCAGAAAUCUCCUAGGGCAGCACCUCCUCUUAGUGAAACAGUGAAAAUGAAAGCGAGGGGGGAACCAACUAUUUAUAAGGCUUCGAGCGGCUCCAAUCAGGUGACGAUUCACCAAGCCACCAUAGAUGGCUGCCAAGUGG
rnacentral:lncRNA from 1 species